rnacentral:rRNA from 2 species
AAAUUGAAGAGUUUGAUCAUGGCUCAGAUUGAACGCUGGCGGCAGGCCUAACACAUGCAAGUCGAACGGUAACAGGAAGCAGCUUGCUGCUUCGCUGACGAGUGGCGGACGGGUGAGUAAUGUCUGGGAAACUGCCUGAUGGAGGGGGAUAACUACUGGAAACGGUGGCUAAUACCGCAUAACGUCGCAAGACCAAAGAGGGGGACCUUCGGGCCUCUUGCCAUCAGAUGUGCCCAGAUGGGAUUAGCUUGUUGGUGGGGUAACGGCUCACC